AGAAAGCAAAAGGGAUGCCGGUGGUGGCAGAUGCUUCCUCCUGGCCAAAUCCCAAAUCCCACCCUCAGCACCCACACCCUGAGCAGUGGGCAGGAGAGGCCUGAAAACGUCUGUACAAAUGGCUUCCGAGAAGCCCUGGAGAUAAAGGAGCCAGAGGCAGCCACACAUGGUUCCCAGAAGCUGAAUGCUGCGCAGACGACAGGAAUGACUUCACCCAUCCUGCUUCCACCCGCCAUAGCAGUGACCAAAGCAGCACUGGGACCACAGCUGAGCACCUCAGAAGAUAAGUCCUGGGGUGAUUCUUGUCAUCUCCGUGAAAAGGAGAAGACAAAAAGGCAGAGGCUGCUGCUUGAGGAUCCCUUCACCUGGGCUGCAUAGCUCACCCAUGCUGACCAACUUCCCCAUUUCAAGCUUCAGACUCACAGCCGCGCUAGUUAGGGUACCACUUGUUCAGACAGCUGUUUUCAUUCACAUCUCCAAAGGUCCUCUACCUUAGAAGAAGAAAGAAAGAGGGAAAGAGAAAUAAAAGAGAUUAAUUAAGAACACUGGGGCCAGGCGCAGUGGCUCACACCUGUAAUCCCAGCACUUUGGGAGGCUGAGGCAGGCGGAUCACCUGAGGUCAGGAGUUGGAGACCAGCCUGGCCAACGUGGCAAAACCCCAUCUCUACUAAAAAUACAAAACUUAGCCAGGCAUGGUGGUGGGUACCUGUAAUCCCAGUUACUUUGGAGGCUGAGGCAGGAGGAUGGCUUGAACCUGGGAGGCAGAGGUUGCAGUGAGCCGAGAUCAUGCCAUUGCACUCCAGCCUGAGUGACAAGAGACUCUGUCUCAAAAAUAAAAACAAAAAACAAAAAAACAAAA
ensembl:lncRNA novel transcript